rnacentral:rRNA from 1 species
GACGAACGCUGGCGGCGUACUUAACACAUGCAAGUCGUACGCUUCUUAUCUCCCCUCGGGGGGGUAAGGGGAGUGGCGAACGGGUGCGUAACACGUGAGCAACCUGCCCCUGUGCGGGGGAUAACCUCGGGAAACCGGGGCUAAAACCGCAUGAGCUUGCCCGGCUUCAUGGCUGGGCAAGGAAAAGUGCUUGAAUGCACUGCGCAGGGAGGGGCUCGCGGCGUAUCAGCUAGUUGGUGAGGUAACGGCUCACCAAGGCAACGACGCGUAGGGGGUCUGAGAGGAUGGCCCCCCACAUUGGGACUGAGAUACGGCCCAGACUCCUACGGGAGGCAGCAGUGGGGAAUCUUGCGCAAUGGCCGAAAGGCUGACGCAGCGACGCCGCGUGGGGGAGGAAGCUUUUCGGAGUGUAAACCCCUGUCAGGAGGGACGAAUCCCUGAGGGAGGCAAUGCCAUCAGGUUGACGGUACCUCCAGAGGAAGCACCGGCUAACUCCGUGCCAGCAGCCGCGGUAAUACGGAGGGUGCGAGCGUUGUUCGGAAUUAUUGGGCGUAAAGCGCGCGUAGGUGGUGGCUUAAGUCUACCUGUGAAAUGCCGGGGCUCAACCCCGAUGUAGUGCAGGAGAUACUGGGUCGCUGGAGACAGGGGAGAGGCAGGCGGCAAUUCCGGGUGUAGCGGCGGAAUGCGUAGAGAUCCGGAAGAACACCAGAGGCGAAGGCGGACUGCUGGGACCCUGUUCUGACAACUGAGGUGCGAAAGCCGGUAGGGGAGCAAACCAGGAUUAGAUACCCUGGGUAGUCCACGCCG